rnacentral:rRNA from 1 species
AGUACCGAAGUCUGAGAUGGAAGAUGGCGAGAAAAGCUGUGUGUAUUUCUGCGGUGCCCGUACCGCAAACCGACACAGGUAGGUAGGAAGAAGAUUCUAAGGCCAACGGGAGAAGGGUUGUUAAGGAACUCGGCAAAUUGACCCCGUAACUUCGGGAGAAGGGGUGCUCCAGAGAUGGAGCCGCAGAGAAUCGGCCCAAGCAACUGUUUACCAAAAACACAGGUUUGUGCUAAAUCGAAAGAUGACGUAUACGAGCUGACGCCUGCCCGGUGCUGGAAGGUUAAGAGGAGAUGUGCAAGCAUUGAAUCGAAGCCCCAGUGAACGGCGGCCGUAACGAUAACGGUCCUAAGGUAGCGAAAUUCCUUGUCAGGUAAGUUCUGACCCGCAUGAAAGGCGUAAUGAUUUGGGCACUGUCUCAACAGCCCGCCCGGCGAAAUUGUAGUACCGGUGAAGAUGCCGGUUACCCGCGACAAGACGGAAAGACCCCAUGGAGCUUUACUCUAGCCUAAUAUUGGGUUUCGAUGUUGCAUGCACAGGAUAGAUGGGACUCUUGGAAACGAUCGCUUUGGCGGUCGCGGAGAGGCCGUUGGGAUACCAUCCUUGCGAUAUUGGAAUUCUAACCUGCGCCUUUGAAUCAAGGCGGGGGACAUUGUUAGGUGGGCAGUUUGACUGGGGCGGUCGCCUCCUAAAGAGUAACGGAGGCGUUCAAAGGUUCGCUCAGCUUGAACGGAAAUCAAGCAAAAGAGUGCAAACGCAGAAGCGAGCCUAACUGCGAGACUGACGGGUCGAGCAGUAACGAAAGUUGGAGUUAGUGAUCCGGUGGUAUGUGAGUGGAAAUGCCAUCGCUCAACGGAUAAAAGUUACCCUGGGGAUAACAGGCUGAUCUCCCCCAAGAGUCCACAUCGACGGGGAGGUUUGGCACCUCGAUGUCGGCUCAUCGCAUCCUGGGGCUGUAUUCGGUCCCAAGGGUUUGGCUGUUCGCCAAUUAAAGCGGUACGCGAGCUGGGUUCAGAACGUCGUGAGACAGUUCGGUCCCUAUCUGUCGUGGGCGCAGGAUAUUUGAUGGGAGCUGUUCCUAGUACGAGAGGACCGGAGCGGACGUACCUCUGGCGCACCAGUUGUUCUGCCAAGAGCAUAGCUGGGCAACUAUGUACGGAUCGGAUAAACGCUGAAAGCAUCUAAGCGUGAAGCCGACCCAAAGAUAAGAUAUCCCAUUGUUUCAAACAAGUAAGACCCCUUGAAGACUACAAGGUUGAUAGGCACGAUGUGUAAGUGGAGUGAUCCAUUCAGCAAGCGUGUACUAAUAGGUCGAGGGCUUGACC